rnacentral:rRNA from 1 species
UGGGGAAUUUUGGACAAUGGGCGAAAGCCUGAUCCAGCAAUGCCGCGUGUGUGAAGAAGGCCUUCGGGUUGUAAAGCACUUUUGUCCGGAAAGAAAUCCUUGGCUCUAAUACAGUCGGGGGAUGACGGUACCGGAAGAAUAAGCACCGGCUAACUACGUGCCAGCAGCCGCGGUAAUACGUAGGGUGCAAGCGUUAAUCGGAAUUACUGGGCGUAAAGCGUGCGCAGGCGGUUUGCUAAGACCGAUGUGAAAUCCCCGGGCUCAACCUGGGAACUGCAUUGGUGACUGGCAGGCUAGAGUAUGGCAGAGGGGGGUAGAAUUCCACGUGUAGCAGUGAAAUGCGUAGAGAUGUGGAGGAAUACCGAUGGCGAAGGCAGCCCCCUGGGCCAAUACUGACGCUCAUGCACGAAAGCGUGGGGAGCAAACAGGAUUAGAUACCCUGGUAGUCCACGCCCUAAAACGAUGUCAACUAGUUGUUGGGGAUUCAUUUCCUUAGUAACGUAACUAACGCGUGAAGUUGACCGCCUGGGGAGUACGGUCGCAAGAUUAAAACUCAAAGGAAUUGACGGGGUCAUAGCUGUUUCCU